rnacentral:rRNA from 1 species
GGUUAAGUGACUAAGCGUACACGGUGGAUGCCUAGGCAGUCAGAGGCGAUGAAGGGCGUGCUAAUCUGCGAAAAGCGUCGGUAAGGUGAUAUGAACCGUUAUAACCGGCGAUACCCGAAUGGGGAAACCCAGUGUGUUUCGACACACUAUCAUGUCAUGAAUACAUAGUGGCAUGAGGCGAACCGGGGGAACUGAAACAUCUAAGUACCCCGAGGAAAAGA